rnacentral:lncRNA from 1 species
CAUGUCUAUGACCUAUGCCAUGACUCACGGCAACACCCCAUCCUUAACCCACAGAGCGAGGCCAGGGAUCAAACCUGCAACCUCAUGGUUCCUAGUCAGAUUCGUUUCCACUGUGCCACAAUGGAAACUCCCAACCAUAAAAUUUAAAUAAACAAAUUAAUUUAAAGUCUUCCUGUACUGUGAAAAUGAUGGGUGUCAGUAACCUAUAUUCUCUAAGCUUAGAAACAUCAGAAGAAAGACAAUUUAAAAAAAAAGAAAAAAGAUAGAGCCAAAUAUCCAACUGCCAAGAACUGUCAAGUAAAAAGGCAAACAUUGUACGUAGUAUGCUAUUGUUCGAGGUUUUUUAAAAGAGCAAAGAGCUAUCUAUGUACAUGUCAUCUUGCAUCCGCAGACUGACUUUGGCAGAAACUAUGACAAUGCUGCCUCUGGAGAGGGGGCUGGGAGGCUGGGGACAGGAAUGAGAGCGCGAGGUGUUUUAAAUCACUGCAUAUCCCCUUUUUACCUUUUGAAUUUUACAUAAUGUACAUGUUUUGCCUGUUUUAUAUUUGUAAAAUUAGAUUGACUAACUUGGGGGGAGGGGAAAGCAAUACAACAUUUAAAAACUAUGGAAACAUACCCCUUUCAGUGUGAAGCCACCACAGGUUUCUGAGCUGAUCUGUGACUUGGCUCUUUCCAAAAGCUGGGGUUGUGGCUUGUUCUCAUUGGAUGCUGAUUGGGGGUGGGGGCACAUUGGGAGUCAAUUUUGAGAGCUCUUCAAAGGAGAAAACCCACAAGAGUUAUUGGAGAAAUGAGACAAACUUUAAGUGAAAUCUUUGGAGUGGGGUGGAAGACGUGGCUAAGGAGUACAGCUGUGGGGGCUGGUUGUUUUCAGGAGGAAAAGCCUCGGACAAGUGAAAUGGCAGAGACUGGCUAUUGUGCCUUUGGAGGGGAUUACUUUGAAUGGUCUGGAAAAGCUGAGAGGACACCAGGUCUGAUCCCUGUCCCCAGCCUACACUGUGAUGUCAUGGUUGGUAUAUUCUUAGUUAUCUCUUUCUUCCCUGGGACUCAUAGCCUACUUUUGCUCCCUUUUAAGUUAAAAACUAAACCUUAAUUAUACAGAGAGAAUCACUAGAUGGGACAUGAUUCGCCAAGAAAGUGGUGGGGGGGAGGGAGGGUGAUAACAACACAUUGACCAUCGAUAAAUCAGCUCCCAGGCUGUCCUGUCCUGUGACCUAUGUAAUGGGUAUUCUCUAGACCCUCAGCUAGGCAGAAAGCUCUUCAAGACUUGGGAUUUUUUCUUUCUUCCCUGCCCAGUCCCUGUCCCACUUCUCUCACACUUGGUACUAUUAAGCUCUUAAUAAUAACAAUGACAAACACUGGGCACCUGCUCUGUGCAGUCCAGGUGUUGAAGUUUCAUUCUGGUCGACACAGGCUGGGCCCCUGAAGACCUCUGUCUUCUCAGCUCCAACACUUCCCUCUCUGGGAUCCGACCACACCAGCCUUUUUUCCGUUUCUUGAACCCACUGAACC